CAUACCUCUUGCAAAUCAGGAUUUGGGAGCGGUUUCCAGUCGGCCGGCCAUACCGUGGUGAACUAGAGGCGUGGCCGCACCAUGAUCCUGAGUCGAGGCCCACCGUUGCUUACUGCUGGAAGAACAUUGGAGCUGUCAGAGGGGAUCCUUUGCGCCGGUACAUGCGUUACAUGGACGACCUAGACUGCCUCACACAAAAUCAGAUUUUCUGGACACCGUAUAGUCGAGACGAGCUGGAGGAGUUGGGACUUAGUCACAUUUGUAGAAGAGAUGCAGAAUUGUGGAGGACGUGUGUUCCUUUGAUUUUCUACUUCGUAGUCGAGCUCCACUUACCGCACCGUGUUAAGAGACAGUUCUCAAGACUGCAAGACUUCCCUCC